rnacentral:rRNA from 1 species
AGUCGAGCGAGUCUGCCUUGAAGAUCGGAGUGCUUGCACUCUGUGAAACAAGAUACAGGCUAGCGGCGGACGGGUGAGUAACACGUGGGUAACCUGCCCAAGAGAUCGGGAUAACACCUGGAAACAGAUGCUAAUACCGGAUAACAACAGAUGAUGCCUAUCAACUGUUUAAAAGAUGGUUCUGCUAUCACUCUUGGAUGGACCUGCGGUGCAUUAGCUAGUUGGUAGGGUAACGGCCUACCAAGGCGAUGAUGCAUAGCCGAGUUGAGAGACUGAUCGGCCACAUUGGGACUGAGACACGGCCCAAACUCCUACGGGAGGCAGCAGUAGGGAAUCUUCCACAAUGGACGCAAGUCUGAUGGAGCAACGCCGCGUGAGUGAAGAAGGGUUUCGGCUCGUAAAGCUCUGUUGUUGGUGAAGAAGGACAGGGGUAGUAACUGACCUUUGUUUGACGGUAAUCAAUUAGAAAGUCACGGCUAACUACGUGCCAGCAGCCGCGGUAAUACGUAGGUGGCAAGCGUUGUCCGGAUUUAUUGGGCGUAAAGCGAGUGCAGGCGGCUCGAUAAGUCUGAUGUGAAAGCCUUCGGCUCAACAGGAGAAUUGCAUCAGAAACUGUCGAGCUUNNNNNCAGAAGAGGAGAGUGGAACUCCAUGUGUAGCGGUGAAAUGCGUAGAUAUAUGGAAGAACACCGGUGGCGAAGGCGGCUCUCUGGUNUGUUACU